rnacentral:rRNA from 1 species
CAGUCGCCACGGGAAUACGUAGGGUGCAAGCGUUAAUCGGAAUUACUGGGCGUAAAGCGUUCGCAGGCGGUUUUGUAAGACAGAGGUGAAAUCCCCGGGCUCAACCUGGUAACUGCCUUUGUGACUGCAAGGCUAGAGUACGGCAGAGGGGGAUGGAAUUCCGCGUGUAGCAGUGAAAUGCGUAGAUAUGCGGAGGAACACCGAUGGCUAAGGCAAUCCCCUGGGCCUGUACUGACGCUCAUGCACGAAAGCGUGGGGAGCAAACAGGAUUAGAUACCCCCGUAGUCCCUGUCUCUUAUAC